GAUGAACGCUGGCGGCGUGCCUAAUACAUGCAAGUCGAGCGAACGGACGCUAAGCUUGUUUCUCUGAUGUUAGCGGCGGACGUGUGUGUAACACGUGUAUACCCUCCCUAUCUUACUGGUAUAUCUUCGGGAAUCCGGAGCUUAUACCGUAUAAUAUUUUGCACCGCAUUGUUCAAAAGUGAAAUACGGUCUUUCUGUCUCUUCUAGAUGUAUCCCCGCUGCAUUAGCUAGUUGGUAAGGUAACGGCUUACCAAGGCAACGAUGCAUAGCCGACCUGAGAGGGUGAUCGGACACAGUGGAAGUGAGACAGGGACAAGAGUACUACGGGAGGGAGCAGUAGGGAAUCUUAGGCAAUGGGGGAAAGCAUGACGGAGCAAGGCCGCGUGAGUGAUGAAGGUCUUGGGAUCGUAAAACUCUGUUAUUAGGGAAGAACAUAUGUGUAAGUAAAUGAGGAGAUAGUGACGGUAACUAAUCAGAAAGCAACGGCUAACUACGUG
rnacentral:rRNA from 1 species